AAGCAGGGGAUCGUAAGACCUUAUGCUUUUGGAGUGGCCGAUGUCUGAUUAGCUAGUUGGUAGGGUAAAGGCCUACCAAGGCGACGAUCAGUAGUUGGUCUGAGAGGACGACCAGCCACACUGGGACUGAGACACGGCCCAGACUCCUACGGGAGGCAGCAGUGGGGAAUUUUGGACAAUGGGCGCAAGCCUGAUCCAGCAAUGCCGCGUGAGUGAAGAAGGCCUUCGGGUUGUAAAGCUCUUUCAGUCGAGAAGAAAAGGCUACGGUAAAUAAUCGUGGUUCAUGACGGUACCGACAGAAGAAGCACCGGCUAACUACGUGCCAGCAGCCGCGGUAAUACGUAGGGUGCGGGCGUUAAUCGGAAUUACUGGGCGUAAAGGGUGCGCAGGCGGCUUUGUAAGUCAGAUGUGAAAUCCCCGGGCUUAACCUGGGAAUUGCGUUUGAAACUACAAAGCUAGA
rnacentral:rRNA from 1 species